rnacentral:ncRNA from 2 species
CCUUCGCCGCUUGUUUCAGGUGCUCUGUGGCUUGGGUCGACAGAGUGAAACAGGGAAGCCGGUGAGUGAGCGCUUCAGUUGAUGAAGCCCUGCGAUCCCGGCGCUGCCCCCGCAACGGUAAAUGAGUGAAAACUGCGUCUGAAGCCACUGCGUCGAUCAUUGAUGCGGGAAGGCGCGCAGUCAGGCAUCACGCCGCUCAUGAGCCCGGAGACCGGCCUGAUCCAUCCAAGCGGC